rnacentral:rRNA from 1 species
UGGGGAAUAUUGCACAAUGGGCGCAAGCCUGAUGCAGCCAUGCCGCGUGUAUGAAGAAGGCCUUCGGGUUGUAAAGUACUUUCAGCGAGGAGGAAGGCGUUGUGGUUAAUAACCGCAACGAUUGACGUUACUUGCAGAAGAAGCACCGGCUAACUCCGUGCCAGCAGCCGCGGUAAUACGGAGGGUGCAAGCGUUAAUCGGAAUUACUGGGCGUAAAGCGCACGCAGGCGGUCUGUCAAGUCGGAUGUGAAAUCCCCGGGCUCAACCUGGGAACUGCAUCCGAAACUGGCAGGCUAGAGUCUUGUAGAGGGGGGUAGAAUUCCAGGUGUAGCGGUGAAAUGCGUAGAGAUCUGGAGGAAUACCGGUGGCGAAGGCGGCCCCCUGGACAAAGACUGACGCUCAGGUGCGAAAGCGUGGGGAGCAAACA